AGAACUCAACUAACGACUUUACCACUUCCCCGUGGAAGACGUCAGCUGGAACCAAAAAUAUCCCAAUCUUCUGCUGUAGCGGGACAAACACCGACAACUACAAUCUGGUCACUUUUACCACCUGUACUGAUGAAGUGUAUCUAGGUUACUACUCCACGGGUUGUUACAGUGCUGUGGAAAAAACUGUGUCAACAUAUACAGUGUACUUCAUCGUUACAGGAUGCAUCAUUCUUGCAGUAGAGCUUAUUGGUCUCAUUUGUGCCUGCUGCUUAUGUAAAAACAUUGGGAAGAAAGAUGGAGAGGUGUCACCGGGUAGAAAAAAGAAGAAGUAAAUCUGGAAAUGAUCUGAAAUUGUCAAUAAAUACCAUGACAUGAGUAACUUUAUAUAAACACCCCUUGAUAAAAGAGUACAUAUUACAUGUCCUCACAAGGAGAUAGACAAUGCGUUUAUAAUGUGGAAGAAAGGUACCAUUGAUAUCUUUGCUUUUGUGUCUACUUCACGUAAAUGAAUCUAUUUAUUUGUAUCAUAGUUUGCUAUCUAUCCUCAUUUAAUUAUGUUUCGUAAUGUAAAUCUUCAAUUGCUAUCAUAUAAUAAAUUCUUGAAUUUAUGACG